GCUUGAGCUGCUCCCCCCGCGACCCGACCCCGGAUAAGCGGAUGACGAUGAGGAUGAGGGACUAAAACAAAAUCAAUGGACAUUGAACAAAUCCGUGCAGCCACAGAAAAACUGAAGAAAAUAUACCCUCAGGAUCUUGAGGACUUUACAGCAGAGUUUUGCCAGUUCAUCUCAAUGGUGAAAGAUGAAGAAUCAGUCAUGGCCAUGUACAAGAAGUUCCUAGAGCUAGGCUUGAGGGAUGCUUUCCCUAAUGUUGACAUUUGCCUUUGGAUGUAUCUGACAUUACCGAUUGCAAACUGUUCAGGAGAAAGAUCAUUUUCUACGUUGAAACGAGUGAAAACAUACCAGAGAGCAACAGUAACAGAAAAAAAAUGGAAUGCCUUUGCUCUGUUGGCAAUUGAGAAGGGAUUUACAACCUCCCUGGAUUUUGAAGACAUUAUAGAGGACUUUGCCUCAUCAAAACUCAGGAGAAAGCAUCUGUAAAUAUCGUGAUGAUGCUGUCAAGAUGUGUUUCAACUGCAAUGGAGGCCUGUGGUGCUGGAAGGCUGAAGAUUAUCCCUGAGUGGAGCAUGCUAAAUGGUAUUCUCACACACCGUCCAGAAAAAAAAAACUGGCGAAAACUGCUGAACAGUCCAAACCAGAAGCUGAGCUGCUGAGUGUUGAAUACCAGAAAAUUGAAGAUAGCAAUGCUGACACAGUGAAACCUAUUGGUGAUUUACUUGGACUACUGCCUUAACAAUGACACUGGCAAUGGAUAAGAUGAUAAGAUAAGGAUAACUUAAUAGCUUUUAACACUAGAAACGCCGGGCCAUUUUUACUUACUACUAG